CCAUUCCGGCAGCAAUAACGAUCCUGAACUAAAUGAAGAUAAAUGUCUUGGCGUAUGAUGUGUUUAUUGAACCAAUCAGAUAAGAGGAAAUGAAGAGUCAGCGAGAGGCUCAUUUGAUUGGCUACAAGAGGAAGGUGGACCCGCCCUCCCCCUCACGCUUGCGAAACUCAGUUAGUGAGAGAAAUUGCCAAAAUUGUAAGCGCAGAGAAAAAAGACGGAGCUGUACAUAUCGGAUUAUUUCGAGAAGGGUAUUCCUGCACAACCGGAGGCUACAGUUUCAGGACCGCAGUUCUAGGACCCUAGUUUUUUUGUGACAGCGCCACCUUACUGGAUCAACACUUAUUAAAGAUGGACGACGUGGAUAGCAAUCAGACGGCCAUCAUAUAUGCCCUGGCUGCCCUCCAGAAUUUGUCCUUGCAGGAGGCUGAGCAGGUCUUCCUUUCUGGUCCAGAUUAUCAUUUCAGUGAAGUGGAAGAAUUUAAUAGAAAGAUUGACAAACAAUUGAGGAAAGAAGGGAGAUCAUUAAAUUGAGUUGAAGCCUACAGCCAUUCUAUCCAUGCAGCAACUGAUGUAAAAGGGGUUCGCUUUGGUGCUGUUGUGAUGUUGUCGCAAAAAUUCACCUUAAGGAGGUUAAUCAAUAUACUGUAUAAUUAAAG